rnacentral:rRNA from 1 species
AGUGAACGCUGGCGGUAGGCCUAACACAUGUAAGUCGAACGGCAGCACAGUAAGAGCUUGCUCUUACGGGUGGCGAGUGGCGGACGGGUGAGGAAUACAUCGGCAUCUACUUUUUCGUGGGGGAUAACGUAGGGAAACUUACGAUAAUACCGCAUACGACCUACGGGUGAAAGCAGGGGAUCUUCGGACCUUGCGCGAUUGAAUGAGCCGAUGUCGGAUUAGCUAGUUGGCGGGGUAAAGGCCCACCAAGGCAACGAUCCGCAGCUGAUCUGAGAGGAUGAUCAGCCACACUGGAACUGAGACACGGUCCAGACUCCUACGGGAGGCCGCAGUGGGGAAUAUUGGACAAUGGGCGCAAGCCUGAUCCAGCCAUACCGCGUGGGUGAAGAAGGCCUUCGGGUUGUAAAGCCCUUUUGUUGGGAAAGAAAAGCAGCAGGUUAAUCCCCCGCUGUUCUGACGGUACCCAAAGAAUAAGCACCGGCUAACUUCGUG